GAGCUGCAGGCAGCCACGCUUCCAGCCUCCCCAGCAGCAGCUGAACUGAUCAGCAGCCUCCACCCUGAAGAGCAGCUUCCUUCACUCAUGAACCUCAUCAUUUGCUCCCUGGCAUCGUGGGUUGUGGCAGAGUGCUCCAGUCCUGCUGCUAGACCUGUCUGCAAGCUGUGGCAUCUCGGGUACAGGAGUGUGAAGAACGACUGGAGCGUUAAAUAAGGACGUGGAUAAGUGUGGCAAUUCCCUGCUGACUGCCAGAACAGCCUGCAGAGCAGAGACUGAGGCCGGCCUCUCUUCCCCUCCAAGUUUUGCAGUGCCAUCUUUUGUCAAAGAUGAAAAAGAAACAAAAUGUGAAUAAAAACACAACUUCCAGCAAA